rnacentral:rRNA from 1 species
UACGUAGGUCCCGAGCGUUGUCCGGAUUUAUUGGGCGUAAAGCGAGCGCAGGUGGUUUAAUAAGUCUGAUGUAAAAGGCAGUGGCUCAACCAUUGUGUGCAUUGGAAACUGUUAGACUUGAGUGCAGUAGAGGAGAGUGGAAUUCCAUGUGUAGCGGUGAAAUGCGUAGAUAUAUGGAGGAACACCGGUGGCGAAGGCGACUGUCUGGUCUGUAACUGACACUGAGGCGCGAAAGCGUGGGGAGCAAACAGG